rnacentral:rRNA from 1 species
UACGAAGGGGGCUAGCGUUGCUCGGAUUUACUGGGCGUAAAGGGCGCGUAGGCGGAUAGUUAAGUUGGGGGUGAAAGCCCGGGGCUCAACCUCGGAAUUGCCUUCAAUACUGGCUAUCUUGAGUGUGAGAGAGGUGUGUGGAACUCCGAGUGUAGAGGUGAAAUUCGUAGAUAUCGUGAGGAACACCAGAGGCGAAGGCGACUACCUGGACAAUUGCUGACACUCAGGCACGAAAGCAUGGGGAGCAAAAGGG